UACGUAGGGACCAAGCGUUGUUCGGAUUUACUGGGCGUAAAGGGCGCGUAGGCGGCGUGGUAAGUCACUUGUGAAAUCUCUGAGCUUAACUCAGAACGGCCAAGUGAUACUGCUGUGCUAGAGUGCAGAAGGGGCAAUCGGAGUUCUUGGUGUAGCGGUGAAAUGCGUAGAUAUCAAGAGGAACACCUGAGGUGAAGACGGGUUGCUGGGCUGACACUGACGCUGAGGCGCGAAAGCCAGGGGAGCAAACGGG
rnacentral:rRNA from 1 species